CAAAUGGUGGUUUACUUUCGAGAUGCUUUGGUGAGACUUAAUGAUGUCAUUAUACAAGAGAAAUCAGAUGGGAAAUCCAAAAUAAUAUAUCUCAGUUAUUAAAGAUUUUAAUGAUGUCAUUAAAGAAGUGCCAAGAUGGGAAAAGAUAUUGAAGUUUCAUGUAGCAGUGAGAGAACAUACAAGCACUUGUGCAGCAGUGGGAGGAAACAACUCUGGGGGGCCAUCAUAUUUGCCAAAACCUGGCAACUCCAUUCAAUGCAUCCAAAUCAGAGUGAAGAAACUCUUCCAGUAAUCACUGAAGCAGUCAACAGUAAACAGGAUAAGAUGAUCAUUGAAGGAGAUUUUCUAGUGCUAACCACAGCAUUUCAAAAACUCCCCCAUAAACUUCGUUUCUCAUAGACCAUAUAUGUUGAUACCAAUCACUGUCAUUUGCUAAUUGCUGGAAUUUCCACC